GCAUCCGUAGCCAAGCGGUAAGGCCAGUGACUGCAACUCACUAAUCGGCGGUUCGAUUCCACCCGGAUGCUCCA
rnacentral:tRNA from 1 species